rnacentral:rRNA from 1 species
GACGAACGCUGGCGGCGUGCCUAAUACAUGCAAGUAGGACGCAGUUGCGAACGGGUGAGUAACGCGUAGGUAACUACCUCUUAGAGGGGGAUAACUAUUGGAAACGAUAGCUACUACCGCCUACUAGUAGAUGGACCUUCGUUGUAUUAGCUAGUAGGUAGGGUAAUGGCCUCCCGAGGCAACGAUACAUAGCCGAGCUGAGAGGGGGAUCGGCCAAAAUGGGAAUGAGAGACGGCAGAGAAUGCGACGGGAGGCAGAAGGAGGGAAGCGUCGGGAAGGGGGGGAACCCUGACAGAGCAACGCGGCGUGAGUGAAGAAGGUUUUCGGAUCGUAAAGCUAUGUUGUUAGGGAAGCGUUACGUAACCAGAAAGGGACGGCUAACUACGUGCCAGCAGCCGCGGUAAUUC